GACAGAGGGUGCAAACGUUGUUCGGAAUUACUGGGCGUAAAGCGCGUGUAGGCGGCCCUGCAAGUCUGAUGUGAAAUCCCUCGGCUUAACCGGGGAACUGCGUCUGAUACUGGAUGGCUUGAGUUCGGGAGAGGGAUGCGGAAUUCCAGGUGUAGCGGUGAAAUGCGUAGAUAUCGGGAGGAACACCAGUGGCGAAGGCGACUACCUGGCCUGUUCUUGACGCUGAGGCGCGAAAGCUAGGGGAGCAACGGG
rnacentral:rRNA from 1 species